CCUACGGGAGGCAGCAGUGGGGAAUAUUGCGCAAUGGGCGGAAGAGUGACGCAGCGACGCCGCGUGAAUGACGAAGGCCUUCGGGUCGUAAAGUUCUUUCGACAGGGAAGAAAAUGCCUAUAAGUAACUGUGUAUGUAUUGACGGUACCUGUAUAAGCAGCCCCGGCUAACUCCGUGCCAGCAGCCGCGGUAAUACGGAGGGGGCGAGCGUUGUUCGGAGGGACUGGGCGUAAAGAGCACGUAGGCGGUGUUGUAAGUCAUUAGUCAAAGACUAGAGCUCAACUUUAGUAAGGCUAGUGAUACUGUACUACUAGAGUAUCAGAGAGGAUUGCGGAAU
rnacentral:rRNA from 1 species